rnacentral:rRNA from 1 species
UACAGAGGGGGCAAGCGUUAUUCGGAAUUAUUGGGCGUAAAGGGCGCGUAGGCGGCCUGGCAAGUGGAAGGUGAAAUCCCUCGGCUUAACCGAGGAACUGCCUCCCAAACUGCUUGGCUUGAGACCGGGAGAGGUGAGUGGAAUUCCCAGUGUAGCGGUGAAAUGCGUAGAGAUCAUGAGGAAGACCAGUGGCGAAGGCGGGUCUCUGGACAGUUCCUGACACUGAGACACGAAGGCCAGGGGAGCAAACGGG